GUGAGAGAGAGAGAGAGAGAGAGAGGCGAUGAGGCCUGGGACACGGAGAAAGAAACAGAGAAAAAGGAGGAAGGAAGAUGAAGCGGCCUUCAGCAUAAGCACGAAAAAAGCCUUUCCCAGGAACUCUCGAUAUCAGACCAUUCUUUCUCGAGGUAGAGAGGAACAGAGACAGAGUUCGUAAGAGGGAGAACCGUCAGACUCCUGUGACCCCACGAAAUCCUGCGACGCUUGAAGAGAAAGAACAGAAGCCUGCCUUCACUAGCCUGCCGCCACACUUCAGCCAGCGAAACCACUACCGGUAAAACGGUAAAACUGAUUUCUUUUGUUUUCCCUUUCAGUUGUAGUGCUUUGGAUUUUAUUUCUUAAUCUUCUUCUCCUUCUGAGUGAAAAUUUGUUUGUUAAAAAAAAAAACUCUGCCAUUUUUUUUCUAACGUUUGGAGGAGAAUGAAAAAAUAAAGGUCUCACGUAGGGGAAGAUAGAGAGAGGCUGGAACCACUACUGAAUACCCAACUUGAUGGCUGGUUAUGGCAAAGUCAAUAAGAGUUUGCAACCCAGGUAAUUUAAUUCAUUUAAUAUAGUCUAAUUUUGGUCUUACCUUCAAUCUGCUGCAAUUUAAUUGUUGGGUCUCAAGCACUAUUCUAUAAGAGCACGUUAUGAGCAAUAUAAGAGCAACUUAAGCCAAAUAUAAGAGCACAUUGUGAUUACCGUAAUAUAUUAGUUCUUAAUAUUUAUAUUUUUCAUAUUUAUAAUGAUCUUAUGUGUAAAUUUUUGACAAUUUGUAAACAACUUUUUUAUUGGAUCAGAUUUAGCCCUCAAAUAGGUGAAAUUAGACAAAUAUUUAAGCCUGAACAUGUUAACACUUAAACUUAAAUCUGGAAUUUUGCUGAUUGUACAAGUAUGUGUUUUAACUUUUAAUGUGUUUGAAAAAAAAAUAUUGAUUUGAGAUUGAUGUAUUCUCUUAGAGACAGCCUUUAAAUUUGCCAUUAUUGGGGAAGUUUGCAGAUUGUACAUUUGUGUUUUAAUGUGUUUUAGAAAAAUGAAUUGAUGCAUUCUCUUAGGCUUAGAAAUGACAAGGUUUCACGGUAGUAGUAGUGGUGCGCUAUGAUGUUAACAUAGUCAUAAGAGAUAUCAAUGGAUUAAACUACAUGAUAACCAACUGUCUAUUUGAGUUUAUCUAAUGGCCAUAAUUCCACACUAUAACCAUUUCAUUUUUCAUUCAUGGUAUUUGAAUUCCGAGUUUUAAGACAUCACAUGCAUCAUCUGAGCCUAUAUUAUUUCUCAUUUGUAGUGUUCACUUUGAUGCAGUUUCCAAAAUUACUUGAUCAAAUGUACUCUCUGCAUUUUUAAAAACAUAAAAACAUGUUUGAUGUGUCUUUCACAAAUCGGAUUGUCCCAUCUCCUUUAAGGGAAAAAUUAUGGAUAA